rnacentral:rRNA from 1 species
CGGACGAACGCUGGCGGCACGCCUAACACAUGCAAGUCGAACGGACUUAAACGGAGCUUGCUCUUUUAAGUUAGUGGCGGACGGGUGAGUAACACGUGAGCAACCUGCCUUUCUGAGGGGGAUAACGUUUGGAAACGAACGCUAAUACCGCAUAACAUAUAUUUAUCGCAUGAUAGAUAUAUCAAAGGAGCAAUCCGCAGAAAGAUGGGCUCGCGUCUGAUUAGCUAGUUGGUGAGGUAAUGGCUCACCAAGGCAACGAUCAGUAGCCGGACUGAGAGGUUGAACGGCCACAUUGGGACUGAGACACGGCCCAGACUCCUACGGGAGGCAGCAGUGGGGAAUAUUGCACAAUGGGGGAAACCCUGAUGCAGCGAUGCCGCGUGGAGGAAGAAGGUUUUCGGAUUGUAAACUCCUGUCUUCAGGGACGAUAAUGACGGUACCUGAGGAGGAAGCACCGGCUAACUACGUG